rnacentral:rRNA from 1 species
UACGAAGGGGGCUAGCGUUGCUCGGAAUCACUGGGCGUAAAGGGCGCGUAGGCGGCGUUUUAAGUCGGGGGUGAAAUCCUGGAGCUCAACUCCAGAACUGCCUUCGAUACUGGAGAGCUUGAGUCCGGGAGAGGUGAGUGGAACUGCGAGUGUAGAGGUGAAAUUCGUAGAUAUUCGCAAGAACACCAGUGGCGAAGGCGGCUCACUGGCCCGGUACUGACGCUGAGGUGCGAAAGCGUGGGGAGCAAACAGG